rnacentral:tRNA from 1 species
GGAAAGGUGCCGGAGUGGUUGAACGGGCUCGCCUGGAAAGCGUGUAAACUCUGAAAGGGGUUUCGAGGGUUCGAAUCCCUCCCUUUCCG